AGGCAGCAGUGGGGAAUAUUGCACAAUGGGCGCAAGCCUGAUGCAGCGACGCCGCGUGCGGGAUGGAGGCCUUCGGGUUGUAAACCGCUUUUGUUCAAGGGCAAGGCAGGCUUUCGGGCCUGUUGAGUGGAUUGUUCGAAUAAGCACCGGCUAACUACGUGCC
rnacentral:rRNA from 1 species